rnacentral:rRNA from 1 species
UGUAGGGAAUCUUCCGCAAUGGACGAAAGUCUGACGGAGCAACGCCGCGUGAGUGAUGAAGGUUUUCGGAUCGUAAAGCUCUGUUGUUAGGGAAGAACAAGUGCCGUUCAAAUAGGGCGGCACCUUGACGGUACCUAACCAGAAAGCCACGGCUAACUACGUGCCAGCAGCCGCGGUAAUACGUAGGUGGCAAGCGUUGUCCGGAAUUAUUGGGCGUAAAGGGCUCGCAGGCGGUUUCUUAAGUCUGAUGUGAAAGCCCCCGGCUCAACCGGGGAGGGUCAUUGGAAACUGGGGAACUUGAGUGCAGAAGAGGAGAGUGGAAUUCCACGUGUAGCGGUGAAAUGCGUANAGAUGUGGAGGAACACCUAUGGCGAAGGCGACUCUCUGGUCUGUAACUGACGCUGAGGAGCGAAAGCGUGGGGAGCGAACAGGAUUAGAUACCCUGGUAGUCCACGCCGUAAACGAUGAGUGCUAAGUGUUAGGGGGUUUCCGCCCCUUAGUGCUGCAGCUAACGCAUUAAGCACUCCGCCUGUGGAGUGCGGACGCAAGACUGAAACUCAAAGAAUUGACGGGGGCCCGCACAAGCGGUGGAGCAUGUGGUUUAAUUCGAAGCAACGCGAAGAACCUUACCAGGUCUUGACAUCCUCUGACAAUCCUAGAGAUAGGACGUCCCCUUCGGGGGCAGAGUGACAGGUGGUGCAUGGUUGUCGUCAGCUCGUGUCGUGAGAUGUUGGGUUAAGUCCCGCAACGAGCGCAACCCUUGAUCUUAGUUGCCAGCAUUCAGUUGGGCACUCUAAGGUGACUGCCGGUGACAAACCGGAGGAAGGUGGGGAUGACGUCAAAUCAUCAUGCCCCUUAUGACCUGGGCUACACACGUGCUACAAUGGACAGAACAAAGGGCAGCGAAACCGCGAGGUUAAGCCAAUCCCACAGUCUGUUCUCNGUUCGGAUCGCUGUCUGCAGGUNGACUGCGGAUGCNGAGGNGCUAGUGUCGCGGAUCAGCAUGCCGCGGGAAUACUA